AUGCAAGGCGACGCUGCUCGACGCGGCGGAUUGGAGCACGCAGACAGCGCACUGAUGUAACCGCUGCGGAUUGGUGCAGUGCGUUUGCUGGGGAAGAUAGGGAAGAGAGAGCUGUGGGUAAGGGCCGCGGCACUCGGCGUAAGGGCAGAAUCGGAGUGCGGCUGUUGGGGAGUCGGUAGAGACUGCGUAAGGAGUGAGGGACUAUUUCAGUGACAGUGUGACCAAUACGGGGCCAGUGGCGCAAUGGAUAACGCGUCUGACUACGGAUCAGAAGAUUCUAGGUUCGACUCCUGGCUGGCUCGAGGAGUGCUUUUUUUAUUUUUUUUUUUUUCCCCCUCCUACACUGUUGCAGGGUCUCCAUUAAAAAGAUGACGGCGAAAGUGUGAAUUUUAAAUAACUUUAAUUUUGACGCUCUUUUGCCCGAAAUGUCAUCCUUUACGAUGUAUGGAACUCGGAGUUGUCUGAAGUGGUUUGUAAGUUGCAGUGCGCCAUAUUUUUAAUGAUGCUCAUGGGAAUCUCUCCAAAUCGGGUUCAUUUGGGAAGCACAUCUGGAAAGGUGGAAGUUUGGAGUUGGGGAGUGGUGUGGCCGGAGAUGAGGUGCCCACCGACACAAAAGCGCAUUUAAGAAUGCAGGUCCGGCCUUUUUUUCCUUCGUGGUGCAAAAGCUCCCCCCGCACCCCGAACACUGAUGAAAAGGGGCGCAGUCCCACUUUACCAAGCACCAGAGCCAUAGGCAAAUAGCGGCCCAUUCUGUAAAAUCAGAAGUGCUCCUUCAUCAAUUGAAAAGCUUUACUUUGGUGUAAGGCACCAUGAUCAUCAACACCUUCGCUUUCUGUUUUCCUUCGUCCUUGGCAGCCAUGGGAACUAAAUCAAAGCCCUAAACAAGCCUCUGGAGCUAUUGCUGUCAGCAAAACUUGAUUAUCCCAUCACCAUCCAAGACUCACCCACAUAACCUCAGUGGACUCUGCUGAAAGAGGAUUUCACUACAGCACUCACAAUGUGGAGAAACGGAAAAUCCCACUGCCAUUUGUUGGCAACGGCCUGAAUAGGACUAAAUGCCCUUGUGUGGUAACAGAUGAAUAAAACACUCUUUACCCAACAAGAGAUGGGGAAAUAACAUCAACUUUUUUUUUUUUUGGAUGCUACUUCUAAUUGAAAUGCCAGCGGUUACUGGCCUCAGGAGUGUGACUUGCAGGAGUGUGAGAAGAGAGAAUUCUGGUAUAGUAGGCCAAACCGGAUUAUUGGCUUUUCUCAGACCACCCAGGCAGUUUUUGAAUGUCCCAAACUGGAGGGGGUUGGGGGGAGGGAAAAAUAGUCCAGGAGAUGAAAAAAAAAAGCAAAUGGGCAAAAUGAGGAAAGAAGGCUGGCUAUGAAGUCUGGAAUCGGGCCACAGUACUCCUCCUUUUCUCCAGAGCCCAACAGUUGUCUUGGGAACUCAAAAAGGUCUCUGCUCUACUUUUAAAACAAACAUUAACUCUGAUUUACCAGGUACUUGUGUUUUCUUUCUAAGUACCCAUAAAUAGAAUCCCAUUGUAGUUCCAUUUGGCUAAUAAUUUAUAUAAUGUUUAAAAUAACAGAUAGGUGGAUACCUCUUCAUGACUUUUAUGCAAGGGUCUGAGGAGUGGCAUGCUUACAAGAGAAACAAAACCUACGCAGGAAUCCUACCCAUGUACCCUCUCCAGGGAAAGUGACAAUGAGAGAAGUCUACUUCUAGAAUUUCUAGGAUGCCUGGAAAUUCUCUCAUUGUUCUUCAAUGCUAUAAAAUGGCAUAAUUGCCAAGAUAUCUGAAUCACUUCAGUCAAGUCCACUUUUAAAAAUUCAUUUCCACAAUUAAAUACAGAUUGUUAACUACCCAAUUUGCAAGCAAAUCCCUGCUUUUCCUAAAUGUGGCUCCAAGACAAUUUUCUUCACUCUGCUUGACUUGAAAGCAGAGCAAAGUUCUGCUGACAAGGCCAGAAACAUUCCUAGGUUGGUGGAGGCAGGUUAAGAUAUAGCCACUGGCUUCAUUUAGCCCACAGCCUUGCUAAAUGGUGGGAAGAAACAGGUGCAACCCUAAGUUCGUUGGGCUCAGCCCCUUGCACUUACAGGGUUUCACAAGCCUGAGCCUGUGAAAAGGAACCAAGGAAAGCACAUAGCCAGGCUAAAGUGACACUUGGCCAAAGGAUUCCGACAGAAUGAAUGUAAUAAAAAUGGAAAAAACAAUCCAUUGUGCCAAAAAGUUCCUAAAGGCAACUGCUAUCAAACAAGUCAAGCAUGGCCUAGAAGUGGGACCGGGCCCAGUGAAAAGUCUGUAAGUUCACAUGUGCCUGUGGGCUUCACCGACCACCCUCCGCGAUCCCAGCUGCCUGGUCCUCUUGCUCUGGGUGUGAGGUGAGAUGGCUGAGUGCAGCCCAGAGCCCAGUGCUCCCAACCUGGCUGGCAAAGGCAAGCUGCUCCCUAGCCCUGUGCCACCAACUCAUGGGCCCUUCUGCAAAGACGGAGACAAACAGCAGACAGCUCUUUUUUUUUUUGAUGCUACUUCUAAUUGAAAUGCCAAUGGUUACUGGCCUUUGGCCUUAGGAGUGUGACUUGCAGGGCAAAUUUCGUGUCUUCCAUGCAAACGUGGCCUUGAAAUCUUGCCAGUAUGUAGCCCUCCCUUAGCCCUUGCCAACCCGGGAGCCAGAAUGAAAUGCACAUGGCAACAGUACUGAAUUUAAAUCGGAUCUAUUCCCAACUGACCUUUAGUUAAGAUCCUAGUGUCCUGACACACCAGAGUCCUGUCUGGGUGAAGCCAGUGAUUCCUAACACACCCAAGAAGGUAUAUGAGCCCAGUGUGAUGGCCUGAUCCCUCCUUCAUCUGCAAUGGGCGAAGCUCUAUCAGUGAGGUAUUUUUGUGUGUGUGAAGACUGAAAGUGAGGGAGAAAACAUCAAAAAACAGACAAAAGCAGUGUACCUUAUACUGGUUUCUUCAAACAUAAUGCCUGGGCCAAAAAUUGGGCAAGAGAGAAACGGGUGAAAUGAGUAAGAUAAGUUAUCCUGAGGCACUUCCUCCAUUGCUAGCUUAGAGAUCUCACACACACAAAACACUCUCGUCAUUUAUCAGAGGGUCUCUCUCGGUAUUCAGGCAGGACUUCCAGAAAGCCUGUUUUUUAAUAAGUUAAAAGAGCCGCAAGAGAUGUUCCCUAAUGGGAUCCUGAGACCUGUCAUUGGGGAGUGGCUCCAAAGUCACAGACUCUGGAGAGCUCCAGAGAGGGGGAAAAAAGAAGCACAGACAGGUGGGCAAAAGAGGCCUGGUGCCUGCACCAAGUCCUUCUCCCAAAGCCAGCUUUGCUCAAAACAGGGCAAAUCUCCUUAGGGCCCCCACUGCCUUUGGGGGAGUGAAGAUAUGCAGGAGCACACACAAUGCUGUCAGUGUACAAGGAGGAAAUCCUGCCUCGCUUAUUUCAAAACUUGGUUCUGGUUCACCAAGUAAAUUCUUCCUACGAUACAAAUCACAUGUCAGAGCUUCCCUCUUGCCACAACACAAUUCAAACAUACAGCCAGUCUAGAGAAGGAUGAGGCUCUGGGGCGGAAGGAAGUCUUAAAUUGAGUUCUGUGUGUGUAUGUGUAUUUGCGUGGGGUGUA